rnacentral:rRNA from 1 species
AUUGAACGCUGGCGGCAGGCCUAACACAUGCAAGUCGAGCGGAUGAAGGGAGCUUGCUCCUGGAUUCAGCGGCGGACGGAUGAGUAAUGCCUAGGAAUCUGCCUGGUAGUGGGGGAUAACGUCCGGAAACGGGCGCUAAUACCGCAUACGUCCUGAGGGAGAAAGUGGGGGAUCUUCGGACCUCACGCUAUCAGAUGAGCCUAGGUCGGAUUAGCUAGUUGGUGGGGUAAAGGGCUACCAAGGCGACGAUCCGUAACUGGUCUGAGAGGAUGAUCAGUCACACUGGAACUGAGACACGGUCCAGACUCCUACGGGAGGCAGCAGUGGGGAAUAUUGGACAAUGGGCGAAAGCCUGAUCCAGCCAUGCCGCGUGUGUGAAGAAGGUCUUCGGAUUGUAAAGCACUUUAAGUUGGGAGGAAGGGCAGUAAGUUAAUACCUUGCUGUUUUGACGUUACCAACAGAAUAAGCACCGGCUAACUUCGUG